rnacentral:rRNA from 1 species
GAACGCUGGCGGCAGGCUUAACACAUGCAAGUCGAGCGGAGAUGAGGUGCUUGCACCUUAUCUUAGCGGCGGACGGGUGAGUAAUGCUUAGGAAUCUGCCUAUUAGUGGGGGACAACAUUUCGAAAGGAAUGCUAAUACCGCAUACGCCCUACGGGGGAAAGCAGGGGACCUUCGGGCCUUGCGCGAUUGGAUAUGCCCAGGUGGGAUUAGCUUGUUGGUGAGGUAAUGGCUCACCAAGGCGACGAUCCCUAGCUGGUCUGAGAGGAUGAUCAGCCACACUGGAACUGAGACACGGUCCAGACUCCUACGGGAGGCAGCAGUGGGGAAUUUUGGACAAUGGGGGCAACCCUGAUCCAGCCAUGCCGCGUGAGUGAAGAAGGCCUUCGGGUUGUAAAGCUCUUUCGGCCGGGAGGAAAUCGCAUCAGUUAAUACCUGGUGUGGAUGACAGUACCGGAAUAAGAAGCACCGGCUAACUACGUG